AAGUUCUCGACGGGGCUCCUCCUCCCAAAAAUCCCUGUCGGGUCGCGGUUAGCCUUUCCUCCUCCCUAGGCUGACCGACUUCAAAAGCACCCGCUGGACCUCCUCCCCCAGCGGGUGCUUUUU
rnacentral:sRNA from 18 species